GUUCAACAAAUAUAUUAUUAUUUGUUACUAAAAUUGCUUUAUUACGUGGUCUUUAUUUUGUUAACUUCAUUGCUUUUACAGUGGGUUAUUCUAUUAAUUCAUGGAUGUAAUAGUUCUUAAAGAUAAUUCUUCAAACGAAUGCGACUUCAGAAAUCUCACAUUUAUUCCAAUUAACAUCUAAUUUCAUCUAAUUUUAACAUUUUAACGUACAUCUAAUUUCAAGCAAAAACAUUUCUAUAUUGGACAGUAGAUUUAACACUAGAAAACUUUUUUUAUAAUUGAUGACAUAUUUUUAUAAACAUAGAUAUAUUGGAUUGUAAAAUAAAAUUUAUUUUUGUUAAUUGUUUGAAAAUAUUUAUAUAAAUUGUUU
rnacentral:lncRNA from 1 species